GAAGUGCCUGCUGGAGGAGCCACCACCGCAAUCGAACACGCAGCUCGGACUUUUCAGAGGGUCCCUGCAGAGGCACAGAUCCUGUGCUCCAAGAGGACACGGUGCCUGGUGUUAGCCCACGGGCCUGGGAGCCAGGAACCCAGGUCCCUGAAGGAACCAGGACACAAAUACCCAGCAGCUGAUCAACAAGACAAAAGCCAAGGAGUCUCCAAGGACCUCCGUGCUGCAGGGACUUCAGGGAACCUGAUGUGCACACACCCCGCUCCCCAGGAGAUAAGCACCUGGAGCCCACACCUGACUUCCAGAUACCAGCAGUGCCUGAGCUACCCCCUCAGCCUGGGCUGCCUGCAAGAGGGCGGAUUCGCACUUGUGCCUGGAGGGUGCAGCCCUGCA